AUGAACGCUGGCGGCGUGCCUAAUACAUGCAAGUCGAGCGAACAGACGAGGAGCUUGCUCCUCUGACGUUAGCGGCGGACGGGUGAGUAACACGUGGAUAACCUACCUAUAAGACUGGGAUAACUUCGGGAAACCGGAGCUAAUACCGGAUAAUAUAUUGAACCGCAUGGUUCAAUAGUGAAAGACGGUUUUGCUGUCACUUAUAGAUGGAUCCGCGCCGCAUUAGCUAGUUGGUAAGGUAACGGCUUACCAAGGCAACGAUGCGUAGCCGACCUGAGAGGGUGAUCGGACACACUGGAACUGAGACACGGUCCAGACUCCUACGGGAGGCAGCAGUAGGGAAUCUUCCGCAAUGGGCGAAAGCCUGACGGAGCAACGCCGCGUGAGUGAUGAAGGUCUUCGGAUCGUAAAACUCUGUUAUUAGGGAAGAACAAAUGUGUAAGUAACUAUGCACGUCUUGACGGUACCUAAUCAGAAAGCCACGGCUAACUACGUG
rnacentral:rRNA from 1 species